rnacentral:rRNA from 1 species
AACUUAAAUGAAUUGACGGGACCCGCACAAGCGGUGGAUGAUGUGGUUUAAUUCGAUGCAACGCGAAAAACCUUACCCACCUUUGACAUGUACGGAACCCUUUAGAGAUAGAGGGGUGCUCGAAAGAGAGCCGUAACACAGGUGCUGCAUGGCUGUCGUCAGCUCGUGUCGUGAGAUGUUGGGUUAAGUCCCGCAACGAGCGCAACCCUUGUCAUUAGUUGCUACAUUCAGUUGGGCACUCUAAUGAGACUGCCGGUGACAAGCCGGAGGAAGGUGGGGAUGACGUCAAGUCCUCAUGGCCCUUAUAGGUGGGGCUACACACGUCAUACAAUGGCUGGUACAAAGGGUUGCCAACCCGCGAGGGGGAGCCAAUCCCAUAAAGCCAGUCGUAGUCCGGAUCGUAGUCUGCAACUCGACUACGUGAAGUCGGAAUCGCUAGUAAUCGUGGAUCAGAAUGUCACGGUGAAUACGUUCCCGGGUCUU